GGGAAUAUUGGACAAUGGGCGAAAGCCUGAUCCAGCAAUGCCGCGUGGGUGAAGAAGGUCUUCGGAUUGUAAAGCCCUUUCGGCGGGGACGAUGAUGACGGUACCCGCAGAAGAAGCUCCGGCUAACUUCGUGCCAGCAGCCGCGGUAAUACGAAGGGGGCUAGCGUUGCUCGGAAUGACUGGGCGUAAAGGGCGCGUAGGCGGUUCGUACAGUCAGAUGUGAAAUUCCUGGGCUUAACCUGGGGGCUGCAUUUGAUACGUGCGGGCUUGAGUGGGGAAGAGGGUUGUGGAAUUCCCAGUGUAGAGGUGAAAUUCGUAGAUAUUGGGAAGAACACCGGUGGCGAAGGCGGCAACCUGGUCCUUGACUGACGCUGAGGCGCGAAAGCGUGGGGAGCAAA
rnacentral:rRNA from 1 species